GUUUUUUUGAAAAUAAUUUAAAGUCAAAUYUGCCCACUGAUUAUAUUAAAGGGCUGCAGUAAAUUGACUGUACAAAGGUAGCAUAAUAAUUAGUCUUUUAAUUGGAGACUUGUAUGAAGGAUUUAAUGAGAUAUAAACUGUCUCUUUUUUAUAUUUUGAAUUUAAUUUUUUAGUAAAAAAGCUAAAAUUUGUUUAAAAGACGAGAAGACCCUAUAGAGUUUUAUAUUUAAUUUAAAUUUUAAUUUUUUAUUAAAGUUUAAUGAAAAUUAAAUUAAAUAUUUUGUUGGGGUGAUAAAAAAAUAAAAUUAACUUUUUUUUUGUGAUAUGAGUAUGUUAAUAGAUAUAUGAACAUUAAUUAAUGAAAGAAUGAUCCAUAAUUUAUGAUUAUAAGAAAAAAUUACCUUAGGGAUAACAGCGUAAUUUUUUUUUUUAGUACAAAUAAAAAAAAAAGUUUGCGACCUCGAUGUUGGAUUAAGAUAAAAUUUAAAUGUAGAAGUUUAAAAUUUUUGAUCUGUUCGAUCAUUAAAAUCUUACA
rnacentral:rRNA from 1 species